GAAGCUAGCUGGCAGGUUAUGAUCUUGGUGGAGCAAGGAAGAGCUUACAUGCUUUUAUGAUGACUAUGGGAAAGACUAAAAAAAGGCAUAAUUAUCUCUUCCAGAAGUGACGGCAUCAGUAAAUGGGUUAACAACAAGGAUGACAGACCAUUACAAUAUUCUGGAUGGAAUGAUGGAUCUGCGAUUGGGUCAGGGUCGAAGGCCUAAAUGUUAGUGCUUAUGAAGAUCCAUAUGUGUUCACUGCAUCUGCGAACCAAGCUCCGCUAAUUUCAAAAUCUGUAGAAAACAACCAGUAUUGGGAUGGAGAUCGGGAAAUAAGCUAAAACCAAGGAUUUCAGAACUGUCAUCGAGAAGUGGCGAUAUUCCUUACAAGGAUUCAAAUGUCACACGCAUAUUACAACACUCACUUGUUGGGAAUGCUCGUAGGGCCAUCAUAUGUACGCCUAGUUCAGCAAUGAGUCACUUUGAACAUCUCCCAACACUUUCUCUUUUUCCACCCGUGCAAAGGAAGUCAUUGAAAAUGCCGAAGUGAAUAUGGUUGUAUCAGAAAAACAAUUAGUUAAACACUUGCAGAAAGAAGUAGCUAGACUCGAAGCGGAGAUGAUAACUCCAGAUCCAUCUGCGCGUUCAGAUACAGAUGCUUUAUCUAGGGAAAAUGAUUUUGAUGAUUUCUACUUGAAUUAUUAUUAGCAAGCCAGAUUUCUACUCCAUUUUCCUACCCCUUAUGACCAAUUUUAGAGUUUUGUAGAAGUUUGUUUGCUUUGUCAUUUUAUACUUCGUUUUGUAUAGAAGUACUUGAUAGCAUUUGUUAGGCCA